AGAGUUUGAUCCUGGCUCAGGACGAACGCUGGCGGCGUGCCUAAUACAUGCAAGUAGAACGCUGAAGAGAGGAGCUUGCUCUUCUUGGAUGAGUUGCGAACGGGUGAGUAACGCGUAGGUAACCUGCCUUGUAGCGGGGGAUAACUAUUGGAAACGAUAGCUAAUACCGCAUAACAAUGGAUGACCCAUGUCAUUUAUUUGAAAGGGGCAAAUGCUCCACUACAAGAUGGACCUGCGUUGUAUUAGCUAGUAGGUGAGGUAACGGCUCACCUAGGCGACGAUACAUAGCCGACCUGAGAGGGUGAUCGGCCACACUGGGACUGAGACACGGCCCAGACUCCUACGGGAGGCAGCAGUAGGGAAUCUUCGGCAAUGGGGGCAACCCUGACCGAGCAACGCCGCGUGAGUGAAGAAGGUUUUCGGAUCGUAAAGCUCUGCUGUAAGUCAAGAACGAGUGUGAGAGUGGAAAGUUCACACUGUGACGGUAGCUUACCAGAAAGGGACGGCUAACUACGUGCCAGCAGCCGCGGUAAUACGUAGGUCCCGAGCGUUGUCCGGAUUUAUUGGGCGUAAAGCGAGCGCAGGCGGUUUGAUAAGUCUGAAGUUAAAGGCUGUGGCUCAACCAUAGUUCGCUUUGGAAACUGUCAAACUUGAGUGCAGAAGGGGAGAGUGGAAUUCCAUGUGUAGCGGUGAAAUGCGUAGAUAUAUGGAGGAACACCGGUGGCGAAAGCGGCUCUCUGGUCUGUAACUGACGCUGAGGCUCGAAAGCGUGGGGAGCGAACAGGAUUAGAUACCCUGGUAGUCCACGCCGUAAACGAUGAGUGCUAGGUGUUGGAUCCUUUCCGGGAUUCAGUGCCGCAGCUAACGCAUUAAGCACUCCGCCUGGGGAGUACGACCGCAAGGUUGAAACUCAAAGGAAUUGACGGGGGCCCGCACAAGCGGUGGAGCAUGUGGUUUAAUUCGAAGCAACGCGAAGAACCUUACCAGGUCUUGACAUCCCGAUGCUAUUUCUAGAGAUAGAAAGUUACUUCGGUACAUCGGUGACAGGUGGUGCAUGGUUGUCGUCAGCUCGUGUCGUGAGAUGUUGGGUUAAGUCCCGCAACGAGCGCAACCCCUAUUGUUAGUUGCCAUCAUUCAGUUGGGCACUCUAGCGAGACUGCCGGUAAUAAACCGGAGGAAGGUGGGGAUGACGUCAAAUCACCAUGCCCCUUAUGACCUGGGCUACACACGUGCUACAAUGGUUGGUACAACGAGUUGCGAGUCGGUGACGGCAAGCUAAUCUCUUAAAGCCAAUCUCAGUUCGGAUUGUAGGCUGCAACUCGCCUACAUGAAGUCGGAAUCGCUAGUAAUCGCGGAUCAGCACGCCGCGGUGAAUACGUUCCCGGGCCUUGUACACACCGCCCGUCACACCACGAGAGUUUGUAACACCCGAAGUCGGUGAGGUAACCUUUUGGAGCCAGCCGCCUAAGGUGGGAUAGAUGAUUGGGGUGAAGUCGUAACAAGGUA
rnacentral:rRNA from 1 species